GAUGAAGAACGUAGCAAAAUGCGAUAAGUAAUGUGAAUUGCAGAAUUCAGUGAAUCAUCGAAUCUUUGAACGCACAUUGCGCCCGCCAGCAUUCUGGCGGGCAUGCCUGUUCGAGCGUCAUUUCAACCCUCAAGCUCUGCUUGGUGUUGGGGCCCUACGGUUGACGUAGGCCCUUAAAGGUAGUGGCGGACCCUCUCGGAGCCUCCUUUGCGUAGUAACUAACGUCUCGCAUUGGGAUUCGGAGGGACUCUUGCCGUAAAACCCCCAAAUUUUCUAAUGGUUGACCUCGGAUCAGGUAGGAAUACCCGCUGAACUUAAGCAUAUCAAUAAGCGGAGGA
rnacentral:misc_RNA from 1 species